AGUUUCAAUAGCGUAUAUUAAGGUUUUUGCAGUUAACAAGCUUGUAGUUGGAUUUCUGGCUGGGCAUGUGGGUCCGUUCUUACAAAGUGUGCAUCAUAUAUCUCUAGCAAUCCUUUGGGGGAGCCACAGUGGCAUUAUGUUGUUGGUGUUGGGAUUCCAAUCCUUUACUAUGAAGAAAUUAGAGUGUUCAAAGUAGGCUUAUGACGUUGAAUAUAUUAGUAUUGAAUAAUAACAUAGAAAAACUGUAUUUUUUUGCUGGUUUGUGCACAAUAAUAAUGACUAACAGGGACAGUUGGGGGUAUUUGUAUUCCAUUGUCUGAGGUGAAAUUCUUGGACUUUUGGAAGACAAACUACUGUGAAAUCAUUUACCAAAAAUGUUUUCA
rnacentral:rRNA from 1 species